AUGGGUGUUACAUGGCUCUCAGAGGGCUCAUCCUAUCAAAUGAAUUGGAGCACACUUCACCAAAAGGAACAUGUGUCUUCCUGAGACAGUUCUAACUGGAAUAUUAUGUUUCUGAUUUUAAAACACAAAGGUCAAAGCAGAAAAAACUAAAACAACACUGUGUAGUGAAAAGAGCAGAUGGUAAAGGUAUGACUCAACAAUCAACAGAGAUCCUCUAUCGGCAGCAUGGAGAUGAGCUGGGAGCAGAACAUCAGAGACUCUAAAAACUGCCCAAAGGCCCACUUAUGAAUCUUCACGGUUACAAAGAUGUUUGUACUCUUACUAUUAGACAGCCCAAUAAAGCAUUUUGUACAUUC